UACGUAGGGUGCAAGCGUUUAAUCGGAAUUACUGGGCGUAAAGCGUGCGCAGGCGGUUUUGUAAGUCUGAUGUGAAAUCCCCGGGCUCAACCUGGGAAUUGCAUUGGAGACUGCAAGGCUAGAAUCUGGCAGAGGGGGGGUAGAAUUCCACGUGUAGCAGUGAAAUGCGUAGAGAUGUGGAGGAACACCGAUGGCGAAGGCAGCCCCCCUGGGUCAAGAUUGACGCUCAUGCACGAAAAGCGUGGGGGAGCAAACAGG
rnacentral:rRNA from 1 species